UACAGGGGGUGCAAACGUUGCUCGGAAUUAUUGGGCGUAAAGCGCGCGUAGGCGGCUACUUAAGUCGGAUGUGAAAGCCCUUGGCUCAACUGAGGAAGUGCACCCGAAACUGAGUGGCUAGAGUACGAAAGAGGGUCGCGGAAUUCCCGGUGUAGAGGUGAAAUUCGUAGAUAUCGGGAGGAACACCGGUGGCGAAGGCGGCGACCUGGGUCGGUACUGACGCUGAGACGCGAAAGCGUGGGGAGCAAACAGG
rnacentral:rRNA from 1 species